AUCGCAACGACAACCUCAGGCAAGCCCUGCGCAUACCUUAACUUCCAGGCCUGGGCAGAGAACUUGGCUUGCGCCACCAGGAGUUAUCACGUGAGCUAAUUACAAUGCUAAUUAGCCCAGUUUACCGGGACUGCUGUGCAUUUGUACACGAGGGUUCUUUGUUUGAUCUGCUACAUCAUAAGCUUACCAGCACGGAGGGAUAGCAUGUAUCGUUGAACGUGGAAGAACACACCUUCAUCUGUAUUAAUGAAGAAAACUACUGAAAACCAACAGACUAAUUAAGGGUAAUGAUGAACAAUUUUGAUCAGCAAUUAUUUUUUUAAUACCGAAGUUCGCUCCUGGAAAGAGUAGAAUGGGGAAGUUCAUCUUCCAGCUUUCUCCCCAGAAAGGUAGUGAGAGAGAGAUCCUGCUUCAUUUCCAUUUCUUCUCCCACAAACUGUUUUAACAUAUAAUUGAACGGAUGCCUUUAUUUCAAAAGAAAAAUAAUAAUAAUUAUAGAGCUUGUUGGGAUCAUUUUCUGAAGAGAGGACAUUAUGCGUGCAUGAAUUCCAUCGGUGAUCUGAGGAGGAGCAGGCUGCUUGGACCAUUACCCAUCAUUGUCGAACAGCAGAGUAAUUAAUUGGGCAAAUACGUCCAGAUCUGGUGAAUUCACAUGCACAGUAACUGGGCAGCAGCAACACACACUCUUUUACUGUGAAUAAAAUAGCAAUAGUUUUA